rnacentral:rRNA from 1 species
GGACCCGCACAAGUAGUGGAGCAUGUGGUUUAAUUCGAAGAUACGCGCAGAACCUUACCAACACUUGACAUGUUCGUCGCGACUCUAAGAGAUUAGAGUUUUCGGUUCGGCCGGACGAAACACAGGUGCUGCAUGGCUGUCGUCAGCUCGUGUCGUGAGAUGUUGGGUUAAGUCCCGCAACGAGCGCAACCCUCACUUUUAGUUGCCAUCAUUAAGUUGGGCACUCUGAAAGAACUGCCAGUGAUAAGCUGGAGGAAGGUGGGGAUGACGUCAAGUCCUCAUGGCCCUUACGUGUUGGGCUACACACGUGCUACAAUGGCAUCUACAACAGGAAGCAAAACGGCAACGUUAAGCAAAUCCCGAAAAGAUGCCUCAGUUCGGAUUGCACUCUGCAACUCGAGUGCAUGAAGCUGGAAUUACUAGUAAUCGUGGAUC